AAAAAAAAAAAAAUGAAAUGUCAAUUUUAAAUGGUACCAAGACAAGAACUUAAGACUGGGCUUCUUGCCCAUUUUCUCUUAAUGAGAAACCAAACAUUCUGUACAAAAUGAUUCUAAACAGCAAGAUACAAGUAGCCAACAAAUACACAAGGACACACACCGCUGGACCAAACAUACCAGCCUGACUCUGCAGUGGGCUCUCAGCAGUUCUGAGCAGCUGGACCUGCCCUCCAAAGCUCCUGUGGCCCCUCAGCACAGGCUUUUCCAGUCUGUCGUUCCUUCCUCCACUGCAGCCUGGCCCUGCCCUCCUUCCCUGCAAAAAUCUGACCUAACCUCUCAAGACUAAUUCAGGCACCCCUUGUCCUAAAAACCACCUUCUCUGCCUCCACUCCCUGAGGAGUUUUCACUUCCUGUGCACCCCAUCAGCAUCUUCAGCCUAUCUUGGCCAUCACCACUGUCUGUGUCCUUGUCCUUUCCCUCACUGAUGUGACCUUGUCACGUUUGGGAAAAGGUCUAAUAGAUUCCCCGUGUCCUCAGUGCCUAAGCCCGGGGCCUUGCCACCUGAGCCUUUGAGCUGCCAGGGGAGAGGGCUCCUGCUGAGGGAUGGAUCCCCAGAAGCCAGCCAGGCCCCUGGUCUGGUGAAGUGUGGUGCUCACAGGUGCUGACAGGGUGUGGAGGCCGCCUCCAUCAAACCCUGUGGGCAGUCAUUUUUUGGAGGAGGAAAGUCUGUUCACCCCAAGGUAGGAUGAAGUGUCCGCUCUGCCCUGUUCAUUCUGAAACUCUUCGAAAUUUUGGUCAAAAACUUUCAACAAAAAAUUCAGAUCCCUACCUGAACUUUGGCACAAGAAGCCCUGGGUGAGGGCCUACCUUCUGAACCUGCGAUUUGAGAAUCUCUCAAGUCACAGGAGGAGGAGACUGGCUUCUCCUGUCCCCAUAGCCAAGUUUGAGUCCAAUGUGGCACUGGAACGCCAAGGAAGAGGGCGAAGUGAGAGGGAAACACGGCCUGGCACAGCCUCAGCCCCACCCCAGGCCGUCCUCCCUGCAGGCUCUACCCGCGUCCCAGAUGCCCCUCCAGCUGGCCUCCCACACUGCUCCCAUGCAUAGCAGACCCCCCUUCACCUUCUGCUCCUGUAUUCCUUUCACCACUGAUGGCAUGCCCCCAGGGCCCCUGGCCACAUUUCCCCACUUCUCCCUGGCUGUCUCCCCGGCCUUGCCUCCCAUGGGUUCCCUCUGUGCCCUCCCCACUGCUCUGCCCCUUCACAGAAGGUCACGUGCUGCACCACCUGCACUGCGGAGUCCCGGGCCCUGCCUCGGGCCCCUGCCUGUCCCAGGAGCCCCUCAGCCCUGAGCCAUCUCCAUCUGCACAUGCUCC
rnacentral:lncRNA from 1 species